CAGUAGCCGCGGUAACACGUAGGUGGCAAGCGUUGUCCGGAAUUAUUGGGCGUAAAGGGCUCGCAGGCGGUUUCUUAAGUCUGAUGUGAAAGCCCCCGGCUCAACCGGGGAGGGUCAUUGGAAACUGGGAAACUUGAGUGCAGAAGAGGAGAGUGGAAUUCCACGUGUAGCGGCGAAAUGCGUAGAGAUGUGGAGGAACACCAGUGGCGAAGGCGACUCUCUGGUCUGUAACUGACGCUGAGGAGCGAAAGCGUGGGGAGCGAACAGGAUUAGAUACCCCAGUAGUCCCUGUCUCUUAUAC
rnacentral:rRNA from 1 species